ensembl:lncRNA
CGUUGUGCUAAUUUUAUUGUGUUGUCUUGUUUUCAUUGUGUUAUGCUAAUUUAAUUGUGUUGUGUCUUGUUUUCUUUCCACUGUGUUGUCUUGUUUUGUUUCCUUUGUGUUGUGUCUUGUUUUCGUUGUGUUGUGCUAAUUUAAUUGUGUUGUGUCUUGUUUUCAUUGUGUUGUGCUAAUUUGUGUUCUCUUGUUUUCAUUGUUGUGCUAAUUUAAUUGUGUUGUGUCUUGUUUCCAUUGUGUUGUGCUAAUUUAAUUGUGUUGUGUCUUGUUUUCGUUGUGUGUUUGUCAGUUUCCACUGUGUUGUGCUAAUUUAAUUGUAUUGUGUCUUGUUUCCGUUGUGUGUUUGUCACAGUUUCCACUGUGUUGUGCUAAUUUAAUUGUGUUGUCUUGUUUUCAUUGUUGUGCUAAUUUAAUUGUGUUGUGUCUUGUUUUCGUUGUGUUGUGCUAAUUUAAUUGUGCUGUGUCUUGUUUUCGUUGUGUUGUAUUGUUUUGUUUCCUUUGUGUUGUGUCUUGUUUUCAUUGUGUUGUGCUAAUUUGUGUUCUCUUGUUUUCAUUGUUGUGCUAAUUUAAUUGUGUUGUGUCUUGUUUCCAUUGUGUUGUGUCUUCUUUCUGUUGUGCUAAUUUAAUUGUGUUGUGUCUUGUUUUCGUUGUGUUGUGCUAAUUUGUGUUCUCUUGUUUUCAUUGUUGUGCUAAUUGAAUUUGCUGUGUCUUUUUUUGUUGUGUUGUAUUGUUUUGUUUCCUUUGUGUUGUGUCUUGUUUCCGUUGUGUUGUGCUAAUUUAAUUGUGUUGUGUCUUGUUUCUGCUGUGUUGUGCUAAUUUAAUUGUGUUGUGUCUUGUUUUCGUUGUGUUGUGCUAAUUUAAUUGUGUUGUGUCUUGUUUCUGCUGUGUUGUGCUAAUUUAAUUGUGUUGUGUCUUGUUUUCAUUGUGUUGUGCUAAUUUAAUUGUGUUGUGUUUUGUUUUCGUUGUGUUGUGUUGUCUUGUUUUGUUUCCUUUGUGUUGUGUCUUGUUUUCGUUGUGUUGUGCUAAUUUAAUUGUGUCGUGUCUUGUUUUCGUUGUGUUGUACUAAUGCCUUGGCGUUGCAGCUUGUUUUAGUAUUUUAUUUAUAUACUAUAAAUAAAUAAUUUGAAUUA